AGAGUUUUGUCCUGGCUCAGGACGAACGCUGGCGGCGUGCUUAACACAUGCAAGUCGAACGGUGACGAUGGAGCUUGCUCUGUCUGAUCAGUGGCGAACGGGUGAGUAACACGUGAGUAACCUGCCCCCGACUCUGGAAUAACCGUGGGAAACGACGGCUAAUACCGGAUAUGAGACGCACAGGCAUCUGUGGGUCUGGAAAGAUUUAUCGGUCAGGGAUGGACUCGCGGCCUAUCAGCUUGUUGGUGGGGUAAUGGCCUACCAAGGCGACGACGGGUAGCCGGCCUGAGAGGGCGAUCGGCCACACUGGGACUGAGAUACGGCCCAGACUCCUACGGGAGGCAGCAGUGGGGAAUAUUGCACAAUGGGCGCAAGCCUGAUGCAGCGACGCCGCGUGAGGGAUGAAGGCCUUCGGGUUGUAAACCUCUUUCAGCAGGGAAGAAGCGAAAGUGACGGUACCUGCAGAAGAAGCGCCGGCUAACUACGUGCCAGCAGCCGCGGUAAUACGUAGGGCGCAAGCGUUGUCCGGAAUUAUUGGGCGUAAAGAGCUYGUAGGCGGUUUGUCGCGUCUGCUGUGAAAACCUGAGGCUCAACCUCGGGCUUGCAGUGGGUACGGGCAGACUAGAGUGCGGUAGGGGUGACUGGAAUUCCUGGUGUAGCGGUGGAAUGCGCAGAUAUCAGGAGGAACACCGAUGGCGAAGGCAGGUCACUGGGCCGCAACUGACGCUGAGGAGCGAAAGCAUGGGGAGCGAACAGGAUUAGAUACCCUGGUAGUCCAUGCCGUAAACGUUGGGCACUAGGUGUGGGGCUCAUUCCACGAGUUCCGUGCCGCAGCAAACGCAUUAAGUGCCCCGCCUGGGGAGUACGGCCGCAAGGCUAAAACUCAAAGAAAUUGACGGGGGCCCGCACAAGCGGCGGAGCAUGCGGAUUAAUUCGAUGCAACGCGAAGAACCUUACCCAAGGCUUGACAUACACCGGAAAAGUGCAGAGAUGUGCUCCCCGCAAGGUCGGUGUACAGGUGGUGCAUGGUUGUCGUCAGCUCGUGUCGUGAGAUGUUGGGUUAAGUCCCGCAACGAGCGCAACCCUCGUCCUAUGUUGCCAGCGGGUCAUGCCGGGGACUCAUAGGAGACUGCCGGGGUCAACUCGGAGGAAGGUGGGGAUGACGUCAAAUCAUCAUGCCCCUUAUGUYUUGGGCUUCACGCAUGCUACAAUGGCCGGUACAAAGGGCUGCGAUACCGCGAGGUGGAGCGAAUCCCAAAAAGCCGGUCUCAGUUCGGAUUGGGGUCUGCAACUCGACCCCAUGAAGUCGGAGUCGCUAGUAAUCGCAGAUCAGCAACGCUGCGGUGAAUAC
rnacentral:rRNA from 1 species